rnacentral:rRNA from 1 species
CGCCUUGCCAGCCCGCUCAGAAACUCAAAGGAAUUGACGGGGGCCCGCACAAGCAGCGGAGCAUGUGGUUUAAUUCGAAGCAACGCGAAGAACCUUACCAAGACUUGACAUCCCCUGACAGCUGUUGAAAGGCAGUGUCUCUUCGGAGCAGGGAGACAGGUGGUGCAUGGUUGUCGUCAGCUCGUGUCGUGAGAUGUUGGGUUAAGUCCCGCAACGAGCGCAACCCUUAUCCUUAGUUACCAGCACGUAAAGGUGGGGACUCUAGGGAGACCGCCGGGGACGACUCGGAGGAAGGUGGGGACGACGUCAAAUCAUCAUGCCCCUUAUGUCUUGGGCUACACACGUGCUACAAUGGCCGCAACAGAGGGAAGCGAGAGCGCAAGCUGGAGCAAAACCCUAAAAAGCGGUCCCAGUUCGGAUUGCAGGCUGAAACUCGCCUACAUGAAGUUGGAGUUGCUAGUAAUCGCGAAUCAGAAUGUCGCGGUGAAUGCGUUCCCGGGUCUU